ensembl:lincRNA
UGCCAUUUAGUGAUUCAAAGCUUUAGUGUCUUGUUUUCCUAGAAUAGCAAAUGGACCUCCCUGGAGUGGCUGGAGCAUUCAAAGUCUCUGUCUUGACCGUGGCUUCUGUGCUGAAGAAAGCAAACACCAGACGCAUCUGUAUUCAGGGCCAUGGAUACAGUACCACGAAAUACCAAACUGAACUUGACCCCAAACAUGCGCUCAGUUUCAAACUGGAUAUGAAGACCAUUUAAGAAUCAUGUGUGAGUGAAUCUCAUUGAAAGAGAAGAAACAUUUAAAAACUUUUAAGUCCUUUCUGAAUUGCUUAUACAUAUAUUCAGCAAUUCAGUGAUGCAGCCUGGAUGUGCACAGACUUGGGUAAUUGGUAUAGCUUCAAGUGGACAUUAUUAUUCUUAUAACAAUACUGCAUUUUCCUCCCUCAAACACUAACCUGCUAUAUUUACAAUUACAUUUGUUGCCAAAUAUAUUAAGUGGACAAAUGGGUCACUGUCUGCCUGCAUUUUUCUGACCCAGUCACAAUUCAUCAAGAAAAACAAAGUUUGGCUGGGAUUCUGAAACAAGCACACUAAGCUGU